UUCACCACAACCAAACACUACAAAACUACACAACGAUACCCUAAAUAGAUUUUAUCUGAAUCAAAUCUCAAAACAUUUUUCAUCGGUUAGAUUAUCCAUCAAUCAUCCUCCUCUAGAUCUCAACUUUCAUGUAUUCAUUUUUUUUCAUUCAGAUCUCAAAAUUCCUGUAAUGGAUUCUUCGAGAAUUUUUUAAUCUCUCACAGAUCUGAACCCAAAUCAUACUACUACUACUCUCUUCAUCAUUUCUUCGAAACUCCCCGAUGAAGUAGAAAAUAAAACUCUUUUAUCAUUGAUGAUUAUCCGCACAAUGAUUUUUCCUCUCAAAACGAAGUUGUACAACUUUAACAUGCAGUACAAUUACAGUUUUGGUUGCUUUUGUUUCCGGGAAAGUUGACAAUGAUGAAGAGGUACCAGAGAGGAAGUCCACGACUCUCUUCUAGAGUAGUGGUUAAUGAUGCUGUCGGGCAUACCUCGUCUCCGAUGGGGAGUCUGGGAUGUGAUUCAGAUUUGUAAAUUAGAUACCGGAUCAUGUAGUAGCAAGAACCUUUGGUGAUGACGUUAGACCAAGAAACUUUCAUAUGUCAGUAGCCGGGCACUUGUGAACAAAUGUGGAUCAUGUAUGUGCAAGAAUUUAACUCAAAAAUGGAAUUCAACUCGAUGAUGUUGAACGCGGGGCACUUAUAUGUAGAUAUUGUGGAAUGGGGGAAGUCAGUCCUGCUCUAGAGUUGUAGAGGAGGUAGAUUAUGAAAUGGAACUGCUGUCCAAAUGUGGUUACCUCUACUAUUUUGAUUGGUGGAUUUUGCAAACAGUCCAAAUCCCAAUAAGAAAAACUGCAGUACCGUUUUAUUAUGCAGUGGCGUAUUAGACGAACCGUAGCGACAUUAGAACUACAGCCUGCAUGAAUGUCUCUUCUGUAAGAAGGAUAUCAGAAGAACCACAUGGAUUUUUGAGUUUGAAGUUUUGAUGGAAGUCUACCCUAGACCAAAACUUGCUUAGAAUAAUAUCUAAAGGGUAUGCUGUUUGAUUAGUGUUUCUCCUUGACGAAACUAGUCUUAACAUUAUCAGGAACCAACUGAACUUCAGAACCUUAAGUGUCGAUGUUACACCAAGAAACUUUCAUAUGUCAGCAGCUGGGUGCUUGAGAUGAUGAAGCAUUUUUAAGGAUUGAGAUGGCACCUUGAGCAAUUUAAUAAACCUCUGCAGCAACUUUUCAGACCUCGGCAUGGUUAUGACAAUUACUCUCAAUUACACUAAUGAAGGGGCUGUGAGUGCAAUAAUUUGACUGAGAAAGGGAAUUCUGUUAUUAGUCUGAUGUUUUCUCAGAUUUGUAUUGCUUUCAGAUUCUAUAAUUUCACUUGGAAAUCUUUUCUAGUUUGACGUUGAAUGUUUUAGUAAUUAAAUAGAUAAUCGGACUUAUCCAUAGUAGCUCUCAAGUCUGAUUUUUAGAUUUUGUAUUGUGGUUGAAAGUGUUUGAUUGUAGUCCAGUGGGUUAAAUUUACUGCAGCAAGAAC